rnacentral:rRNA from 2 species
CUAAUACAUGCAAGUCGAGCGGACAGAAGGGAGCUUGCUCCCGGAUGUUAGCGGCGGACGGGUGAGUAACACGUGGGUAACCUGCCUGUAAGACUGGGAUAACUCCGGGAAACCGGAGCUAAUACCGGAUAGUUCCUUGAACCGCAUGGUUCAAGGAUGAAAGACGGUUUCGGCUGUCACUUACAGAUGGACCCGCGGCGCAUUAGCUAGUUGGUGAGGUAACGGCUCACCAAGGCGACGAUGCGUAGCCGACCUGAGAGGGUGAUCGGCCACACUGGGACUGAGACACGGCCCAGACUCCUACGGGAGGCAGCAGUAGGGAAUCUUCCGCAAUGGACGAAAGUCUGACGGAGCAACGCCGCGUGAGUGAUGAAGGUUUUCGGAUCGUAAAGCUCUGUUGUUAGGGAAGAACAAGUGCAAGAGUAACUGCUUGCACCUUGACGGUACCUAACCAGAAAGCCACGGCUAACUACGUGCCAGCAGCCGCGGUAAUACGUAGGUGGCAAGCGUUGUCCGGAAUUAUUGGGCGUAAAGGGCUCGCAGGCGGUUUCUUAAGUCUGAUGUGAAAGCCCCCGGCUCAACCGGGGAGGGUCAUUGGAAACUGGGAAACUUGAGUGCAGAAGAGGAGAGUGGAAUUCCACGUGUAGCGGUGAAAUGCGUAGAGAUGUGGAGGAACACCAGUGGCGAAGGCGACUCUCUGGUCUGUAACUGACGCUGAGGAGCGAAAGCGUGGGGAGCGAACAGGAUUAG